GACCUCCCAGAAUUAUGUCUGGAGAGUGAUUAGUAUUCUGCCAGCUUUGGAGACGAGACAGAAAGCAAGCCUGGCAGAGGUACGCAUUCCAUUCCCAGCUUCCUCAGUAGCUGGUGUUUGGAAGACUCUCUACAACAAUG
ensembl:snoRNA